rnacentral:lncRNA from 1 species
UACGGUAUGAGACUCUCUAAAGCGCGAGAACGCCACGCACUCUCUACUCUCUAGCCUAUGCUUUCAGCUCAGCAGCGUUAUUGGAAGAGCCCAGCCCAGAUUAUCGAGCCCAAAGGCCCAUGCUCCACGCACCACCUCGUGCUUAGCCCGCCGCCGGCGGUGCUCGUUGAGGGCGGGGCGGGGCGGAGACGGGAGCCGCUGCCACAGCUGCACCCCGUGGCGCACGGCCGCGGUGGCGCGGUCCAGUGCCCACUGCCAAGUGCCCAUUUCGACCACACAGGUAUGGUUAUCAGCAGUUUCUCAAUAGUUGACUUUGUCCCUUUUACAGUUGCUGGGUUGGUAGCCGACGAGUGUACUGUUCACCUGAUCAUAUCUUGGUCUGAAGCACAACAUUGUUCCUGUGUUAGUUCCAGUCCCGGCUAGCUCAACAACCAGAUGCAUUAUUGACGCUUUGUCUGGGUUCUCACAUCUUUGGUAGUUCAUCUGUGGUAUGCCUAGAGGGGUCUUUCACUCUAUCCCAAAUAUGAUAUAUCGAUUAUUUGAUUGCCUACCCCAACCUGCAUGGAAUGGGACAAAGAGGCUUUGUUGUUGUAAUUUUAGAUCGAUAGCUAUCGUUAGAUGCAAUUCUGCACUCGGAUUGAACAAAUCUUCAUAACAUUAUAUAUCAAUAACAAUGGCGUUUUCUCCUGAUUUAGAGCACAAAUUACAACAGAAUCUAGCAUGGAUAUUAUUGAAGAAAUGUUACAGUUAAUUUUUUUUUCUCUCAUCUAUAUGUUAUUUGUUCCCCUUAGUACAAACAACCUUAUUUAUGCAGGCUUUAAGCAGGUCCUGCCAUUACAUUUGUGCUACUGACAUCAUCUACUAAAGCAAGCAUCUGGGCCACAUUUUCCAUGGUUGGUCUUCUGUCUCUAUCUUCCUCCAUGCAUGAAACAGCCAGUCUCAUCAUUGUUCUUGCUUGGAUAUUGUUGAAUUGACCAUUUAGUCUAGCGUCAAUAAAGUCGGCGAUCCAAGAUUGUUCACUGCCACUGCCAUCCAACUUCAGCUUUUCUUUGGCCAUCCUUGAUAUCCUUCCAAGGACCAUCUCCACUUCCUCAUCCUCAUUAUUUUCCAUGUCAGAGGCACGAACUCCCUUGAGUAGUUCUAGUAGCACCACUCCAAAGCUGUAGACAUCAACCUUUGCUGUAAUUGGGAGACUAGAAACCCAUUCAGGCGCUAAAUAACCUCUAGUUCCUUGGAUCUUUGAAACAUUUAUGUUGGAUCCACCUCUGCUCUGGAGCUUUGCAAGGCCAAAGUCAGCAAUCUUUGGCACCAAGUUCUCAUCCAGCAGUAUAUUUUCGGGCUUCACAUCACAGUGGAUGACCCACUCUGAACACUCGUGGUGAAGAUAUGCCAGUCCUCUAGCCACCCCUAGGGCAAUGUUAAAUCUUUGCUUCCAUCCAAGUAAAAUUUCUGAACCCUCAGUACCAAAUAAGACUUUAUCCAAUGAACCAUUCUCAAAAUAUUCUGUAACCAAUAUCCUGUGUGGACCAUCAGAACAGAAACCCCAAACUCUCACAAGAUUCAUAUGGUAAAUCCUACUAAUCACACUCAGUUCAUGCUGGAAUUCUUCUUCACCUUGGUUUAUUUCUGCCAACUUUUUCACAGCUACUGCCCUGUUGUCUUUCAGGACUCCUUUGUAUACAAUGCCUGAUGAUCCCCUUCCAAUUUCAUCCUUGAACUUUCUAGUCGCUGACACCAACUCUCUGUAGGUGUACCUGCGAAAAUGGUUAGUUAUCAUUUCAUAUCCAGCCUCAGCUGGCCAUACUCCUCUCAGUUCCCUGCGCUCCCUCCUCAGAAUAAACCAUCCAAAUACAACAAACAUAAGCUCUGCCAGAAAUAUUGCUGAUAAAAAUCCAUAGAAGUACAAAUACUUCAACUCACUCUGAUCUCUCUUAAGCAUACCCAGAAAAUCUGCUACAAAGUAUUUAUUUGGUGUGCUACAGUCAGGACCAUACUUAGGAGCAAAAGGUUGUGACUGCGGAAUUGAGGCAUCCAACACUUCUAGUCCCUUAGGAAUCUUGAUGUACAUGGUACCAGUACUACCAAGGUUAUGCAGGGUUACACCACCAAGCAUAAUAGACUUUGGAUAGCAAUCUCCAGUUCCUUCCCAGUAGGCAAAACCCUUACAAUUGCAGUCAUGCAAGCAUUUGUUCAUGCAAAAGUCAAGAGAAACGAAAUGGUGGGUAGUCAUAUCAUACCCCAAGAAAUCAGUGUGGGGUAGCUUAGCAAAUUUCACCUUCUGUGCAUCACAACUGAUGUUGGUCUUUGGUCUGCAGCCUUUGCUCCGGUCGCUUGGGUCAAUGACUACAAAACCAGGGGCACACACACAAGCAGGUGCAGGCGUAUACACGCAUAUUCCAUUUUCACCGCACAAACCGCGUACUUUGCAGAGCUGAG